GCCCAGGUGGCGGAAUUGGUAGACGCGCUAGAUUCAGGUUCUAGUGCCGCAAGGCGUGGAGGUUCGAGUCCUCUCCUGGGCACCA
rnacentral:tRNA from 1 species